rnacentral:rRNA from 1 species
AUUGAACGCUGGCGGCAGGCCUAACACAUGCAAGUCGAGCGGAUGAAGGGAGCUUGCUCCUGGAUUCAGCGGCGGACGGGUGAGUAAUGCCUAGGAAUCUGCCUGGUAGUGGGGGAUAACGUCCGGAAACGGGCGCUAAUACCGCACACGUCCUGAGGGAGAAAGUGGGGGAUCUUCGGACCUCACGCUAUCAGAUGAGCCUAGGUCGGAUUAGCUAGUUGGUGGGGUAAAGGCCUACCAAGGCGACGAUCCGUAACUGGUCUGAGAGGAUGAUCAGUCACACUGGAACUGGGACACGGUCCAGACUCCUACGGGAGGCAGCAGUGGGGAAUAUUGGACAAUGGGCGAAAGCCUGAUCCAGCCAUGCCGCGUGUGUGAAGAAGGUCUUCGGAUUGUAAAGCACUUUAAGUUGGGAGGAAGGGCAGUAAGUUAAUACCUUGCUGUUUUGACGUUACCAACAGAAUAAGCACCGGCUAACUUCGUG